ACCUCAAAUCAGGUGGGACUACCUG
rnacentral:rRNA from 1 species